UUAGUGCGUGAUAAUUUACAAUGUUUCAGUGAGUGAGUGAAAAUAAAAGAAUCUGGGAGGAGGAGGAGGAGGAGGCCUGGGAGGCAUCAGGCAUCGGUGGAGCAACCAUUGAUUUGCAACGUAGUCUACAACUCCGCUGCUGCGCAAUCGUGUCGGUAAGAAUAUAUAAAGGAACGUGAAGAAAGGAACGAGAA